UCUUAUCGAGAGAGACUGAGGGACCAGGCCCGAAGAUGUCCGGCAACCUCCUUUUAAAGGGAAGGUGCUAAAUCCUGCAGAAUGAUUUCAUUCUGAAAGAUAAGG
rnacentral:ncRNA from 1 species